GAAAUACUACACUGUAAUGUUUUGUGCACAGUGUUGAAUCAAAACUUCAUCAAAAUGAUUUAAAUAUCAUGCUCCUCGUGUUGCUUUUGAUGGAAACACUCAUUUUUAUGUACUACAUUCUCUAAUAAAGUAGUCAAGUUACCUAGCACAGUUAAGGAGGAGGAAGUUCCUGUGUGUGUUUGUGACUGAUCUGCAGUGACUUACAGCUCAGAGCACUGAGAGCCUCAACAGAGAACUGAGCUGAUCUGAUUGAACAUGGACAAAUGCUUAAUACUGAUUCUCAUUGUGGGAACAGGUUUGGUGGCUGGAGACAACAUUGAUCCAGAUAAAGGAACAGACAAAAACACUGAAGAAAGAGAAACUGUCAAGCUAACUUGCUCUUAUAGUACAAGUAGUGAAUAUAUUUGGCUUUACUGGUACAGACAGUAUCCCAACAGAGAACCUGAGUAUUUAUUACUCAAAAACGCAAGGUCAGCAGAUGAUUACGAAGACACCUCUGAUGAUCGGUUUCAACUGACUGCAACACGUACAUCCACUGAACUUAGUAUUACUGAUGUACGUCUGUCAGAUUCAGCUCUCUAUUAUUGUGCUCUAAGAGUAGUAGCCCAGUGAUACAAAAUAUGAAGAAUGUUGUACAAAAACCUGAAGCUCUUUUCACUUUGAAAAUUCUACUGAAAAACCACA